GGUUACAACUUACAUCCAACAAUAAGGCUCAUUCAAAUAACAACAUAGAAACUAUUAAAGAGUGGACUUUAAGCCUAACUCAACCCCAUAAAACCAGCUCAUAGGAUUGAGGUUUGCACCCACUUAUAUACAAUGAAAUGUCCUAAUCUCUAGUCGAUGUGAGAUCUCCAACACACCUCCCUCACGCCGAGAGUAACAGCAGCUCGUAUGUGGGAUAACAUAUUAUGGGUGGUGGCUUGAUAAACCCAACAAAUACUCCCUAGGAUAGGAUCGAAAUGACUCUGAUACCAUGUUAAGAAGUGGGCUUUAAGCCUAACUCAACCUCAUAAAACUGGCUUAUAGGGUUGAAGUUUGCUCCCACUUAUAUACAAUGAAAGACUCUAAUCUCUAGUCGAUGUGUUUAUAAUAGAAACAAUCAAGUCUGUCUCAACUAGGAGGAAACAAGAACAUGGAUCAAAUGAGUUGUUUUUCUGACUCCAUCAUUCUAUUAUAACAAGAAAAUGACUAAACUCAAACUGUUUCAUAUCUGGCUUUCCUCCCACCAAAAGGUGGAAUCUUGCUAUCAUUGUUUAGAGGUUUAGAUCAUUGAGAAAUAUUAGGAAGUAGACUUUAAACUUAACUCAAGCUUACAAAACUGGUUUAUAAGGUGAAGUUUGUACUCACUUAUAUAUUAUUAAAUGUUUUUAUCUCUAUUCUAUAUAUGAUCUCCAAAACGAGGGAUGUAAGUUAUGAAGAAGUAGUCAAUUUACCCAUACAAUAAGGGACAUUAUGAAAGACAAACUGUACAGAAAUUAACAAACGAACAUCUCAAACUACAGAAGACACCGAACUUACAAAAGUCCUGACUUGUUAACCACCUAUCACGAUCAUGUGUAGGGACAAAAGCUUGUGUACAUCUUGGUCUGCUAAAAACUAUCUUGUUACAAACUGUAAAACAUUACUAUCCUGAUUACAUGUUAAUCCAUGUUUAGACUGAUAAUGAUACUAUAAAAUGACUAAAGUUCAUCCUCAAAGUCUAGAUAAGCAAAAGCAUACUAAAGAUAAUACAAUUUUAAGCAUUUACUAUUUUUCAUUUAUUCUUCAACUAACUUGAGCAUUGAAAUAUCUUCAGAAACACACAUGUGUUGGUGGUUCAAAUUAAUUGAAAAGAGGACUACUACUUGGUCAUUGAAGAAAAGAAAGACACGAUCUUGUGAAGAUCAUUUAGACCUUUUUAAGAACACAGACAAUUAAGCAACAUGGAAGAUGGGUAGCAAUACCAUUUCUAGUGGUAUGGUUUGUUCUGAGAAGAAACUCUAAACAGCAUAUUCUCUGAUUUAUGAAUAUAUUCUUUAACAUUAGUUGAAGUUCAUAUAAGUGUCAGUUGUUUGGUAGAAUUGUUUCUUCUAUGUGGUAACAUCGGAUUAUAAUAAUACAUUGUGCAGGACAUUUUUAUUACUUCAUAAGUGUUGUGCCUUGAUGAUUUGUUUUAAGUUAACCUUUAUCUUUUCCUAACUUCCCUUAGAAAAUGAAGCCUUACAUGUAAGU
rnacentral:lncRNA from 1 species